rnacentral:rRNA from 1 species
AUUCCAGCUCCAGAAGCGUAUGCUAAUGUUGUUGCAGUUAAAAAGCUCGUAGUUGAAUCUCUGGUUUGCCUGACCGAGCCUUUGGAUGAAUGUCCACUGUUUGCUUGUUUUGUCGGGCGCGCCAUCUUGGCAAUGCUUUAGGGUGUUGCCUCGUUCACUGUAAAGAAAGCAGAGUGUUCAAAGCAGGUCGUAGAUCUGAAUGUUUAUUAUGGGAUGAUAAGAUAGGGCUUGUGCGCUAUUUUGUUGGUUUGCACGCGCAAGUAAUGAUUGAUGGGAACAGUUGGGGCUAUUCGUAUUUGGCAGCUAGAGGUGAAAUUCUUGGAUUUGCAAAAGACGGACUACGGCGAAGGCAUUUAGCAAAGAUGUUUUCAUUA